rnacentral:rRNA from 1 species
GGAGGUGGCAAGCGUUGUUCGGAAUUAUUGGGCUUAAAGCGCGUGUAGGCGGGACGGCAAGUGUCGGGUGAAAGCCCUCGGCUCAACCGAGGAAUGGCCUGGCAAACUGCCGUCCUUGAGGCAGGCAGAGGUGGCUAGAACGACGGGUGGAGCGGUGAAAUGCGUAGAUAUCCGUUGGAAUGCCAGCGGCGAAAGCAGGCCACUGGGCCUGUCCUGACGCUGAGACGCGAAAGCGUGGGGAGCAAACAGGAUUAGAUACCCUGGUAGUCCACGCCGUAAACGAUGCGCACUAGGUAUGAGGGACUCUGACGUCAAUCGUGCCGAAGCCAAAGUGGUAAGUGCGCCGCCUGGGGAGUACGGCCGCAAGGCUAAA